rnacentral:rRNA from 1 species
AGUGAACGCUGGCGGUAGGCCUAACACAUGCAAGUCGAACGGCAGCACAGGAGAGCUUGCUCUCUGGGUGGCGAGUGGCGGACGGGUGAGGAAUACAUCGGAAUCUACCUUUUCGUGGGGGAUAACGUAGGGAAACUUACGCUAAUACCGCAUACGACCUACGGGUGAAAGUGGGGGACCGCAAGGCCUCACGCGAUGAGAUGAGCCGAUGUCCGAUUAGCUAGUUGGCGGGGUAAUGGCCCACCAAGGCGACGAUCGGUAGCUGGUCUGAGAGGAUGAUCAGCCACACUGGAACUGAGACACGGUCCAGACUCCUACGGGAGGCAGCAGUGGGGAAUAUUGGACAAUGGGCGCAAGCCUGAUCCAGCCAUACCGCGUGGGUGAAGAAGGCCUUCGGGUUGUAAAGCCCUUUUGUUGGGAAAGAAAUCCUAUCGGUUAAUAACCGGUGGGGAUGACGGUACCCAAAGGAUAAGCACCGGCUAACUUCGUGCCAGCCGCCGCCGUAAGAC